rnacentral:rRNA from 1 species
AGAUUGAACGCUGGCGGCAGGCCUAACACAUGCAAGUCGAGCGGUAGAGAGGUGCUUGCAUCUCUUGAGAGCGGCGGACGGGUGAGUAAUGCCUAGGAAUCUGCCUAGUGGUGGGGGAUAACGUUCGGAAACGGACGCUAAUACCGCAUACGUCCUACGGGAGAAAGCGGGGGACCUUCGGGCCUCGCGCCAUUAGAUGAGCCUAGGUCGGAUUAGCUAGUUGGUGAGGUAAUGGCUCACCAAAGGCGACGAUCCGUAACUGGUCUGAGAGGAUGAUCAGUCACACUGGAACUGAGACACGGUCCAGACUCCUACGGGAGCAGCAGUGGGGAAUAUUGGACAAUGGGCGAAAGCCUGAUCCAGCCAUGCCGCGUGUGUGAAGAAGGUCUUCGGAUUGUAAAACCUCUUUCAGCAGGGACGAA